rnacentral:rRNA from 1 species
CCUACGGGAGGCAGCAGUGAGGAAUAUUGGUCAAUGGACGGAAGUCUGAACCAGCCAUGCCGCGUGCAGGAAGACGGCUCUAUGAGUUGUAAACUGCUUUUGUACAAGGGUAAACCUGAAUACGUGUAUUCAGCUGAAAGUACUGUACGAAUAAGGAUCGGCUAACUCCGUGCCAGCAGCCGCGGUAAUACGGAGGAUCCAAGCGUUAUCCGGAUUUAUUGGGUUUAAAGGGUGCGUAGGCGGAUUGAUAAGUUAGAGGUGAAAUGUCCGAGCUCAACUCGGGAACUGCCUCUAAUACUGUUGAU